AUUGAACGCUGGCGGCAUGCCUUACACAUGCAAGUCGAACGGCAGCACGGGGCAACCUGGUGGCGAGUGGCGAACGGGUGAGUAAUGCAUCGGAACGCACCCGGAAGUGGGGGAUAACGUAGCGAAAGUUACGCUAAUACCGCAUAUUCUGUGCGCAGUAAAGAGGGGGAUCUUCGGACCUCUUGCUUUCGGAGCGGCCGAUGUCAGAUUAGCUAGUUGGUGAGGUAAAGGCUCACCAAGGCGACGAUCUGUAGCGGGUCAGAGAGGAUGAUCCGCCACACUGGAACUGAGACACGGUCCAGACUCCUACGGGAGGCAGCAGUGGGGAAUUUUGGACAAUGGGCGCAAGCCUGAUCCAGCCAUGCCGCGUGAGUGAAGAAGGCCUUCGGGUUGUAAAGCUCUUUCGGCCGGGAAGAAAUCGCAUGGAUUAAUACUCUGUGCGGAUGACGGUACCGGCAUAAGAAGCACCGGCUAACUACGUGCCAGCCGCCGCCGUAAUAC
rnacentral:rRNA from 1 species